GAUGAAGAACGUAGCGAAAUGCGAUAAGUAAUGUGAAUUGCAGAAUUCAGUGAAUCAUCGAAUCUUUGAACGCACAUUGCGCCCGCCGGUAUUCCGGCGGGCAUGCCUGUUCGAGCGUCAUUUCAACCGUCAAGCCCUGGGCUUGUGUUGGGGACCUGCGGCUGCCGCAGGCCCUGAAAUGCAGUGGCGGGCUCGCAAGACACACCGAGCGUAGUAGCUUACAACCUCGCUUUGGGAGUGCUGCGGGUGCUGGCCGUAAAGCGACCUUUUGCGUCUUUAGCACUAGGUUGACCUCGGAUCAGGUAGGAGGACCCGCUGAACUUAAGCAUAUCAAUAAGCGGAGGA
rnacentral:misc_RNA from 1 species